UACGAAGGGGGCUAGCGUUGUUCGGAAUUACUGGGCGUAAAGCGCGUGUAGGCGGGUCUUUAAGUCAGGGGGGAAAUGCCAAGGCUCAACCUUGGAACUGCCUUUGAUACUGGAGACCUUGAGUCCGGGAGAGGUGAGUGGAAUUGCGAGUGUAGAGGUGAAAUUCGUAGAUAUUCGCAAGAACACCAGUGGCGAAGGCGGCUCACUGGCCCGGAACUGACGCUGAAGCACGAAGGCCAGGGGAGCAAACGGG
rnacentral:rRNA from 1 species